rfam:Fukomys damarensis contig152716, whole genome shotgun sequence.
GGGCCCAUCUUCCAGCACAGUGUUGGAUGGUCUGACCGUGAAGCUCCUAACACUGUCUGGUAAAGAUGGCUCC